AUCCCUGUAGCGCAAUGGAUUGCGCGUUGGACUUCUAAUCUAAAGUUGUGGGUUUGAAUCCCAAGAGGGAAG